CACCUGUUGAUGCAAAAGCAAGUAAAGCGUUUUGUUUUUGAAGAAAACUGUCCGCCAAAGUUACAGGUCAAAAUGAUGCGUUUCCUAUUACUAUCGAUUUUCUUGCUGCAGUGUGUCACCGAAUUUUCUACCGCGACAAGUCUAGUACCAAGAAACAAAAGAAGUCUCAUCGGCCUAGGUUAUAUUUUGCAAGCCUACACUGGAAGAGCUGCUGAAUAUAUGU